CAUGUAGGCGGCUUAAUAAGUCGAGCGUGAAAAUGCGGGGGCUCAACCCCGUAUGGCGCUGGAAACUGUUAGGCUUGAGUGCAGGAGAGGAAAGGGGAAUUCCCAGUGUAGCGGUGAAAUGCGUAGAUAUUGGGAGGAACACCAGUGGCGAAGGCGCCUUUCUGGACUGUGUCUGACGCUGAGAUGCGAAAGCCAGGGUAGCGAACG
rnacentral:rRNA from 1 species